AAAGAAAAACCUUCGCGAAUAGAAUAAUUAGAGUCUUUCAACUUGUGCGCGGAUGCCAGAAUUCACUGUUUGUCUUUAAAAUUUUGCAAUGAUGGGCCUUUGCUUGUCAACAGAAAACUUCCCUAACCGAUGUACGCGUUCAAACUGGGAUUCGGUUACAGUGAUUGCUAGAUUAUUAGAGCAAAAUGUCAUUAUUUUCUGCUCCGAGCCAUCCCAGUUCGCUUUCGUGUCAUCCUGAAGACCAAAGAACAGCAGGUUUGACCGACGCAGCCUGUUCUCGGCGUUGUCACAUUCUUUCAAUUAUGUCACCCAUGCUUUCAGUUAAGCCCAGGCCCGCAUAUAGCUCUAGCCUCAAGUUUCUGCAGCACCACCAGAGAAGUACUACGGGAGCGACUACAAAGGACGCAGUGAAACAUAAACUUCGGUUUCUGUACUCAAAACAUGGCGAACAUUACUAGCAGUGAAAGGCCUCUGCAGUUCAUGAAAAGAAGCAACCAGCCAUCUGUAUGGGACAUGGACUUGUUGCCAUCGAAGAACAGGAACCAAAGCAACCUCACAAAGAUGGAGGAAGCAGAUCUGGGCUGGGGUCAGCCUCACCACUGCUGUCACCUGCGAGCGGAAGAGCUUCAUCAAGUACAACGCCACCUGCCUCAACUGUACGGCUCUGGCACAAGGCGCCAGUGUUUACCACCUGCUGUGGGCUAGCCCAAGCACACGACGCCCCUGAGAGCCCUUGCUCAGGUGGCCUGUAGUGGCCUCCACUGUGACCAGCGUGCUG